rnacentral:rRNA from 1 species
AACGAACGCUGGCGGCAUGCCUAACACAUGCAAGUCGAACGAGAUCUUCGGGUCUAGUGGCGCACGGGUGCGUAACGCGUGGGAAGCUGCCCUUUGGUUCGGAAUAACAGGUGGAAACGACUGCUAAUCCCGGAUGUUGACGAAAGUCCAAAGAUUUAUCGCCAGAGGAUGAGCCCGCGUAGGAUUAGCUAGUUGGUGUGGUAAAGGCGCACGAAGGCGACGAUCCUUAGCUGGUCUGAGAGGAUGAGCAGCCACACUGGGACUGAGACACGGCCCAGACUCCUACGGGAGGCAGCAGUGGGGAAUAUUGGACAAUGGGCGAAAGCCUGAUCCAGCAAUGCCGCGUGAGUGAUGAAGGCCUUAGGGUUGUAAAGCUCUUUUACCCGGGAUGAUAAUGACAGUACCGGGAGAAUAAGCUCCGGCUAACUCCGUGCCAGCAGCCGCAGUAA